rnacentral:rRNA from 1 species
GCGGCCUAUCAGCUUGUUGGUGAGGUAAUGGCUCACCAAGGCGACGACGGGUAGCCGGCCUGAGAGGGUGACCGGCCACACUGGAACUGAGACACGGUCCAGACUCCUACGGGAGGCAGCAGUGGGGAAUAUUGCACAAUGGGCGAAAGCCUGAUGCAGCAACGCCGCGUGAGGGAUGAAGGCCUUCGGGUUGUAAACCUCUUUUAGCAGGGAAGAAGCGAAAGUGACGGUACCUGCAGAAAAAGCACCGGCUAACUACGUGCCAGCAGCCGCGGUAAUACGUAGGGUGCAAGCGUUGUCCGGAAUUAUUGGGCGUAAAGAGCUCGUAGGCGGUUUGUCGCGUCUGCUGUGAAAAUCCGAUGCUCAACAUCGGACUUGCAGUGGGUACGGGCAAGCUAGAGUGCGGUAGGGGAGACUGGAAUUCCU